GACGAACGCUGGCGGCGUGCCUAAUACAUGCAAGUAGAACGCUGAAGGAGGAGCUUGCUUCUCUGGAUGAGUUGCGAACGGGUGAGUAACGCGUAGGUAACCUGCCUGGUAGCGGGGGAUAACUAUUGGAAACGAUAGCUAAUACCGCAUAAGAUUGACUAUUGCAUGAUAGUCAGUUAAAAGGUGCAAUUGCAUCACUACCAGAUGGACCUGCGUUGUAUUAGCUAGUUGGUGGGGUAACGGCUCACCAAGGCGACGAUACAUAGCCGACCUGAGAGGGUGAUCGGCCAAACUGGGACUGAGACACGGCCCAGACUCCUACGGGAGGCAGCAGUAGGGAAUCUUCGGCAAUGGACGGAAGUCUGACCGAGCAACGCCGCGUGAGUGCAGAAGGUUUUCGGAUCGUAAAGCUCUGUUGUAAGAGAAGAACGAGUGUGAGAGUGGAAAGUUCACACUGUGACGGUAUCUUACCAGAAAGGGACGGCUAACUACGUG
rnacentral:rRNA from 1 species